GCUAGGCAGUUGGCUAACAAAGUGAGAACAACACAAAUAAUUCAAGCCUGGUUUCAAGGCUGCAAAGCACGGAAGGGAUAUGAAUCUAUGGUGGAAGCUGUGUGCGUUAUUAAGAGUCACUUCAGAACAAAAUGGUAGAGGACUAGUAUUUAUUUACAUUAUGGAAACAAAUAGUUUGACAAGAAAUGCUCUACUGAGUCAGACUAUUGCUUGAUCCCAUUCAGAUCUGUGUUGUGUCAGAAACAGUAAAAAAUGACUGUUUGUGGAGCAUAUGUGAACCUGAGCAGUUACGGAGAUCCUCCCUCAGCAUCAGUAUUCCCUAGGCUAUGAAUGUUAGUUUAUAUCCUUGCUCAUUCUCUUUAUUAUCCUUCUUCUGACCUGCUGAGUGUCAGUUUGCCCUUUCAAAUCUACUGUUGCCUCUACAGCCUCAUCUUGCAGCAAGGUUCUGUUUUCCCACAGUAGGCACUCCCAGGAUUAUCUAUUCUAAAUCAGUUGUUUUUGUGUUGCAGGAUUACAGCUUGGUUUUCAGUAUAUCUAAAUGAUUUUGUAAACCUGCUGUAGGUCUCUCUUUCAUCUGAAGUACCCAGUUCUUCCAAGUUUUACUGUCUAAUUCUGUCACUCUAUCUUCCCUGUUUUAGUCAUUCUUCCCUGACCUUGUUGUAUCCUGUCUGAGAUGUAGAGAUCAGAACUGCGUAUUGUCGUUAUGAUUAUUUUAAAUAGCAGCAAAAUUAUGUCAUCUGAAUUGUUCUUGGUGUUCUUCACCACGAUGCCUUGACAGGUCCUUGGCUUCCAUUGUGCAUGGGACAUAAAAUAAAAAGAUUUAACGGGAGCAAACUUUUUUCUAUUUAUUUUCUACUUAGUGUUUCUAUGUUUUCCAAGAUUACUAUUUGAGUGAUUGCUGUUUAGCUUUUGAAUUUUUUUAAUAGAGAUUGUGUAUGCAUGUUCUUUAGGUAUAAUGUCUUAUGUAAGCUAUAUCUUUCAUUGCCUUGCUUCCUGUAUCCAGAAGCUUCAUGUUCCAUUUAAACAUAAAAAUGUAAGUGUUCUCAACUUCUAGAAAAACCUAAAAUGCAUUUUCUUGUCAGGUUUUUGAAAAUGAAGUUCUGUGCACUUACUGUUCAAAGAAGAUGGAGAGCAACUCUUGCAGCAAUAAUGGUUUGGCUUCAGUUUCUGACAACUAAGGAUGCAGUAGUCAAGAUUCAGUUGUCUUCUAGCCCGUACUGUCUGUAUGCCUUCUAAGAAAGAUAUGUUUUCACUUGCACUCUGUCAAGGCUGUACUAAGCUUGCAUUGCUUUUGAGUGAGUUUUGUCAUCAAUAUGUGGAAGAAAAGAAGCGGGGCUGGUCCAAAGAUUGCUCAAAUCGAAACUGUGUUAUCUUUAAAAUACUCUAUUUCCUUUUGCAUUGUGCAACUAGGUUGAUGUUUCUGAGUAAUUCCAGUUAUUGAAUUGCCUAUUUAUGCCAAAGGAUGAAAUGCAUGAGUGAUCUCUUGGCUUUCUUGCUUACAAAGGAUUAAGUUAUGCCAAUAUUUUGACCCCAUUUAGGUAAGGGAAAAGACAUUUCAAAUUGUGAAAAUGAAUUUUUAUAUAAAGUUGUGUGAUGUCUGAAGUCCAAGCAAACAAACUUUACUUUGAAGUUUCAUUUCUAGUUAAAAAAAAUUCCAUCAUAAGAUAAAAACUAAGACUCAUAUUGACUGCAACAGGAAUGAACCCCACUUCAAUUAUCAGUGAGCUCUUUAAAAUCUCUUCUAGAAGCACAAAGCUGCAUGUUUGAUCCAAACAAUAUAUAGCUGCUUUGAGAAGGAAACUUGAUUGACAAAAAGCUGCUGCUGUGACUUUCCAAAAACAUCUGAGGGCUUGGCAAGAGGGCAGGCUUCAACUUAUGAAGUACAACAAAAUCAGAAGAGCUGUCAUUAAACUGCAAGUGUAUAUACGGGGUUAUUUAGUCAGGAAAAAAAGGUUAGUAUACUUCACUUCAAAACUACGCUUGAUGUAAAGUAUCUCCAGAGCAAUUUAGCAUUAAUUUUGGCUGGCAAGAAAAGAGCUCAGAUCAUUAAACUCUGAUUCCUGUUGACUGCUUUGAGAGUUAUGUGGGUCAGGGGUCAGAUUAUCGUUGCCUACAAUGAAACUGUUCUGGCAGUCACUUUGCUGUGUCUUUGUUCAGAUUGGAGACCUAGGACUGAGGAAAGGUAGCAGCGUGCUGAGUUCUGAGUUUUCAGAAUAGAAACAAAAGAAGAGGCUACUUUAUUUUACAGCAGCUGCAUAUCAUGUUUCUGCAGUUAAAAUUCAGAGGGCUUAUAGGAUGCAUCUCACCUAUAAGCUAGCAGAAAACCACAUCUCAUCAGUUCUUAUAAUACAGGAAAUCUGAAGGAUGCCAAGAGUUGUUAAGUGCAUUCAACUCCUCUAUAAGCUUACAGCUUGUAAGUGCAAAAUGGACGCAGAGAGAAUGCUUGUGAAACAGAAGACAAACAAAUUUCCUCUAUUCCAGUAACUCCUCUAAGAAUAAAGACAAUUUCAAGAAUUAAACCAGACUUGGAUUUGAGAAAACAUAACGUGCAAGAAAUUGUGGAUCCUCUCCAAGCAACCGUGAUGGUGAUGGAAAUACUUGGCAUUGUCUGCUACUGAAAUGUAAAUUAAUGUAUUUGUACAGUAGGUAUGCAGCAGGCAGCUAAAUGAUUUUAAAAUGAAACAAAUAAUUGUCAAGCUGCCCUUGAACAUGUUUCUGUAAUUAUCUUUUUUGUAUUGUAUGCAGCUUUUGAAAUCCUGCCAAAAUCAACUGUACAAUAAAAUCUUAUGUCCUUGUCCA